UGCCAGCAGCCGCGGUAAUACAGAGAGUGCAAACGUUGUUCGGAAUCACUGGGCUUAAAGCGCACGUAGGCGGCAUCGCAAGUGUCGGGUGAAAUCCCACGGCUUACCCGUGGAACUGCCCGGCAAACUGCGGUGCUAGAGUAUGGUAGGGGAGAGCGGAACUCAUGGUGGAGCGGUGAAAUGCGUAGAUAUCAUGAGGAACACCGGUGGCGAAGGCGGCUCUCUGGUCCAUAACUGACGCUGAGGUGCGAAAGCUAGGGUAGCGAACGGGAUUAGAUA
rnacentral:rRNA from 1 species